UCUCUCUCUGUCUCUCUCUCUGUGGAAAUUUUGCUCUCUGUGGUUUUACUUGUGUUUGAUUCUGUGUGAUUGGUGGGUAUAGGUGGGCGAAACAGAGUAAGAUCUGAUGUACUCGGUAGUGGAUCUUUAUUUAACGAAAGAUCAUGAUGGCCCUUGAAAAUAAAGGUAGCUUCUCGUUUCUUUAAUUUCUAUUGGGUUUGUGCCUUUAGCUUUGUGAACUAAAGUUUCAAUUUUGACCUAUUUGAGUGUUUGGUUUAAUGCUUUGUGUUCAAUUGUAAUCUGACUGCUGAGUUUAUAUGAUUAAUUUGUGAUGUAAGAAUGCAAAUCUUGGUUUUUCCCUGCUGGGUUUUAAUUAUCAAAAUGUGGACUUAUUUCUUCUUUCCUUGUUUUUGGUAUGGUUGGUCAAUGCGUGUUAUAAUACUGUACUAUAGUAUUUGAUUAAUAUUUUAGUGCUGUUAAAUUAGUUGGGUUUUAUUUUAAUCUCUGUUUCUUUGGGUAGUGGGGAUGCUGCUAGGAGUUGAAUGUUUAGACUUAAGACUGCUAGUUGAAUUGGGGGGAUGUUUAAUUUUAUGUUCAAGAGUGAUUGAAAAUCAAUAAUGAAUUAUAAGGAUAAUCAUAAUGGGAUGUGAUGAUAUGUUUU
rnacentral:misc_RNA from 1 species